GCCUGGGUGGCUCAGUCGGUUAAGCAUCUGACUUCAGCUCAGGUCAUGGUCUCACGGUUCGUGGGUUCGAGCCCCGGGUCAGGCU
rnacentral:tRNA from 1 species